ACUCAAAGGAAUUGACGGGGGCCCGCACAAGCGGCGGAGCAUGUGGCUUAAUUCGAUGCAACGCGAAGAACCUUACCAAGGCUUGACAUGCAGGGAAAUCUCGUGGAGACACGGGGUCCGUAAGGGUCCUGCGCAGGUGGUGCAUGGCUGUCGUCAGCUCGUGUCGUGAGAUGUUGGGUUAAGUCCCGCAACGAGCGCAACCCUCGUCCUAUGUUGCCAGCGAGUCGUGUCGGGGACUCAUAGGAGACUGCCGGGGUCAACUCGGAGGAAGGUGGGGACGACGUCAAGUCAUCAUGCCCCUUACGUCUUGGGCUGCACACAUGCUACAAUGGCCGGUACAAAGGGCUGCGAUGCCGCGAGGUGGAGCGAAUCCCAAAAAGCCGGUCUCAGUUCGGAUCGGGGUCUGCAACUCGACCCCGUGAAGUCGGAGUCGCUAGUAAUCGCAGAUCAGCAAUGCUGCGGUGAAUACGUUCCCGGGCCUUGUACACACCGCCCGU
rnacentral:rRNA from 1 species